AGUGGGAUAGCUGGGUCAAAUGGUGGGUUCAUUCCAAGUUUUCUGAGGAAUCUCCAUACUGUUUUCCAAAGUGGUUGCACCAAUUCACAGUCCCACCAGCAAU
rnacentral:pre_miRNA from 1 species